rnacentral:lncRNA from 1 species
UAACUCUAAUAUAAUACUAAUUAAAUUCUAAUUAGACCAUAAUAAUGUUAAACAAGCUUUAAUCAAAUUCAAAGAAACCGCAAAGAAAUUUAAAAGAAACAAUAAAAAAUCUUAAAGAAAUAUUAGAGUGAUCACAAAUAUAUCUCAAAUAUAUCUCAAUUCAAUCUUAAUUUAAUCCUAGUUAAAAUCCUAUUGGACUUCAUUCAAACUUUAGGCCAAAACUAAUUAAAUCUUAAAUCCUAAUAAAAUCCUAAAUCCUAAAUCAAACCCUAAAUCCUAAAUCAAAUCCUAAAUCCUAAACAAAUUCUAAUCAAAUCCUAAAUCAAACCCUAAUCAAAUCCUAAACCAAAUCCUAAACAAAUCCUAAAUCAAAUCCUAAACAAAUCCUAAACCAAAUCUUAAAUCCUAAAUAAAACCUUAACCAAACUCUAAAUCAAAUCCUAAAUUCUAAAUCAAAUCCUAAAUCAAAUCCUAAACAAACUUUAAACCAAAUCCCAACCAAAUCUUAAACCAAAUCCUAAAUCCUAAACCAAUCUCCAACCAAAUCCUAAAUCAAACCUUAAAUGAAACUCUAACCAAACUCUAAACCCUAAACCAUACCUUAAUUAAAUCUUAAAUCCUAAACCAAACCCUAAACCAAACUCCAAUCAAACUCCAAACCAAAUCCUAAAUCCUAAAUCAAACCCUAACCAAACCCUAAUCCUAAC